GUGGAUGUUCAAAGGCGACAGAUUAUACUGGUAAAUGAAAACUAAAUUCUACUUUCGUUUUCAUUAAUAUAUCCAGUGAUAGUAAAUAAAUUGGCGAACACUACUUGGAAUCUACACUCUUAACUUAUGAACCUGACUCGACUGGCUGGAAGAAAAUGAGAGCGAUACUCCACACCAUCUUCGUUUGCGUCACACCUUGGUUAAGGUUUCGCAUGUAAUUCCCCUGAUUCCUGCAACAUCAGACCGGGUGGAGUCAGCACGGAGUUUAGAACAAAAUGGCUUCGUACAAAGACAUCCUUAAGGAAAAGGAUAACCAGAACUGGCAGAAAGGAUCCCUCGCUCUCAAGAUCACCAAGGCCGGCCUACGAGGCCUUGUUGAAGGAGAAUCGCAUCGCUUUCAGCAAAAGAUCCACUCGUCAGUCCUCCGGGCCAGGCAUCUUGCUGCUGGAACAACAUGCAGCCUUUGUCUGACAGGAAAUGUAUUGCAGUGUCCAACAAAUGGACUGUGCUCACAACCGCGAAACUGCAAGUACCACAAGACACCAUUUACGAUACCUUGCCGACCUUGCCCCUCACAUAUAUGUGAUGACUUUCGGGAUGAAAUAUGGACUGUCCACAGAUAUCGUAAACCAUCCUGUGGUGGACCAUCCUGGAAGAAUACCAAAGCCAACCAAUGGUGUACGAACCAUUGGCAAAUAGCCAAAUGCUUUAUGCCACCUGACGGCUAUCACGAUGUGACGUCGUACGACGAUAUGUCGUCACUGUCACACACUGUGCCAUCACCGUCAUACACUGUGCCGUCACCGUGCGAUCACUGUCACAAACUGUGCCGUCACCGUGCCGUCACUAUAUUACACUGAGCCGUCACCGUGCCGUCACCGUCAUACACUGUGCCGUCACUGUCAUACACUGUGCCAUCACUGUCAUACACUGUGCUGUCACCGUCAUACACUGUGCCAUCACUGUCAUACACUGUGCCCUCACUGUCAUACACUGUACCCUCACUGUCAUUUAAUUGGAAAUGAAUUGCGGAGUUGAUGUCGUUAUCGGGGUAUGAACGCAAUUGGGCUGGUCAAAGUGUGUGGAGUUUAAUAGAAUCCACGCGUACUUUGACCAGCCCAAUUUCGUUCAUAUCCCCGAUAAUGACAUCAAACCCACAAUUCAUUACUUGAAUACUUCAUUACACCAAUAGUUCAUUAUGUCAUUCACGAAUUGUUAAAACAAUACUUCAUUUCAUUUAGGAAACCUUUCAGUUAUCUUUUCUUACACAUUCUGUAAAUGGAAUGACCCGACUGUAACUGGACACAUUUUAUCAAAUGAUAUCAUAAUUACGCUGGAAAAGAUCAACCACUUGAAAUCACUUUAAAUGUAAAAUUGAAAUACAUAUGUAUCAUAAAUUAACACUUUCUAAAAUGUUGAUU